rnacentral:tRNA from 2 species
GCGCUGUUAGCUCAGCUGGUAGAGCAGCUCGCUCUUAACGAGAAGGUCGAAGGUUCGAAUCCUUCACGGCGCACAA